AGGAUGAACGCUGGCGGUAUGCUUUACACAUGCAAGUCGUACGAGAGUUUUUAACUCAAGUGGCGGACGGGUGAGUAACACGUAAGAAUUUGCCUUUAGGAGGGGGAUAACAACUGGAAACGGUUGCUAAUACCCCAUAUGCUUUCGAGUGAAAUGGAUUUUUCCGCCUAAAGAGAAGCUUGCGGCUGAUUAGCUUGUUGGUGAGGUAAUGGCUUACCAAGGCGACGAUCAGUAUCUGGUUUGAGAGGACGAUCAGACACACUGGAACUGAGACACGGUCCAGACUCCUACGGGAGGCAGCAGUGGGGAAUUUUCCGCAAUGGGCGAAAGCCUGACGGAGCAAUACCGCGUGAGGGAUGACGGCCUAUGGGUUGUAAACCUCUUUUUCAGGGAGGAAUCAAUGACGUGUACCUGAAGAAUAAGACAUCGGCUAACUCCGCGCCAGCAGCCGC
rnacentral:rRNA from 1 species